UACGUAGGUGGCAAGCGUUGUCCGGAAUUAUUGGGCGUAAAGCGCGCGCAGGCGGUCCUUUAAGUCUGAUGUGAAAGCCCACGGCUCAACCGUGGAGGGUCAUUGGAAACUGGGGGACUUGAGUACAGAAGAGAAGAGUGGAAUUCCACGUGUAGCGGUGAAAUGCGUAGAGAUGUGGAGGAACACCAGUGGCGAAGGCGGCUACCUGGACAAAUACUGACGCUGAGGCGCGAGAGCGUGGGGAGCAAACAGG
rnacentral:rRNA from 1 species